rnacentral:rRNA from 1 species
AGCGAACGCUGGCGGCAGGCUUAACACAUGCAAGUCGAGCGGGCACUUCGGUGUCAGCGGCAGACGGGUGAGUAACACGUGGGAACGUACCCUUUGGUUCGGAAUAACGCUGGGAAACUAGCGCUAAUACCGGAUACGCCCUUUUGGGGAAAGGCUUGCUGCCGAAGGAUCGGCCCGCGUCUGAUUAGCUAGUUGGUGGGGUAAUGGCCUACCAAGGCGACGAUCAGUAGCUGGUCUGAGAGGCUGAUCAGCCACACUGGGACUGAGACACGGCCCAGACUCCUACGGGAAGGAGGAGUGGGGAAUAGUGGACAAUGGGCGCAAGCAUGAUCCAGCCAUGCCGGGUGAGUGAUGAAGGCAGUAGGGUUGUAAAGCUCUUUUGUCCGGGACGAUAAUGACGGUACCGGAAGAAUAAGCCCCGGCUAACUUCGUG